rnacentral:rRNA from 1 species
CAGUCGCCGCGGGAAUACGUAGGGUCCGAGCGUUGUCCGGAAUUAUUGGGCGUAAAGGGCUCGUAGGCGGUUUGUUGCGUCGGGAGCGAAAACCAGGUGCUUAACACCUGGCCUGCUUUCGAUACGGGCAGACUAGAGGCAUUCAGGAGAGAACGGAAUUCCUGGUGUAGCGGUGAAAUGCGCAGAUAUCAGGAGGAACACCGGUGGCGAAGGCGGUUCUCUGGGAAUGUUCUGACGCUGAGGAGCGAAAGUGUGGGGAGCGAACAGGAUUAGAUACCCCCGUAGUCCCUGUCUCUUAUAC